UGAGAAAUUCCUGGAUGGAUUCGCUCU
rnacentral:piRNA from 1 species